ensembl:lncRNA
AUGCAUAAAUUUAACAAACAUGAGACUUCUUGUUAUGUGAUCUAUACACAGGUAAUGGAGUACCAUCCAACUGCUGAGGUUCAUUCCCAGGAUUCCUACCCACCUGCCCAGUGGAAACCACCUCCUCCACUGGAUUACAGCUCUUCCAGCUCCAAGUCCCCCAAACGGCAGGUAAUGCAGAACCCAGUCACUGAGAUGACUGCAGUGGAUGGCUUUUCCCCGUGCCAGUCAAAGUCUGUAGCAGAUAGUCGUGAAUCUGCUAGUUCAGAGACACCAAAUCAAGAGCUGGAAGAGUUAUUUUCUGAGGAUUCAAAUGAGCUCCUGGAUUCCGCCUCGGACAGUGGAAAGGAACUUCCUGCAAACUCCAAAGAAGAAACUCGCGACAGCUGCUCAGAAGGUUGCAAGUCCCCAAAACCCAGCUCCAGUGCAAAGAAAUCAAAGGCCUCUGGACGCAGAAACAAUCUCAGAUCUAAAGGCUCGGUUGCUGUCAACAGAAGCCAAAGAAGGGGCGAUGGGAAGAGAGUGUAUAAUAAGAAACAUUAUUGCCUGUUUUGCUCAAAACCUUUCAGCAAAAUGGCAAGACAUUUAGAAGAUGUUCAUGCAAAAGAAGCGGAGGUUGCUAAAGCCCGUGGCUUUCCAAAAGGUUCAAAGGAGAGGAGACUACAGUUGGAUGAACUUCGGCUAAGAGGGAACUACAAACACAAUAUUGCUGUGCUAAAAUCGGGCAAAGGCGACCUGGUCCCUUGUAAACGACCACGGGGGGUAGUCAAGGCCAGUGACUUCAUGCAUUGUGCACAUUGCCAAGGACUUUUCAACAAAAGGGUUUUGUGGAGGCAUAUGAAGGUCUGUAAACUAAGCCCUAAUAAAACAUAUGUCCCAAAACCAGGAAAGAAUCGUACCUUGUCUGUUGUUGCAGCCUCACAGCCUGUGCCUGCUAAUAUAAGCCCAGCGUUAUGGUCUAUAUUAAGCUUCAUGGUCCCAGAUGAAGUCACAGAUGCCGUAAAGAACGACAAUUGCAUCCUUCAGAUGGGGGAAUAUUGGCUUAACAAAAGCGGAGCUCCUCAGCAGAACCAGGGCUGCAUCAUCCGGCAGAAGUUACGUGAACUUGGUAAACUGCUGGUCACUGGGAGGAAAGUGGCUUCACUAAAGAAACUGGAGGAUUUUCUCGACCCGUACAACUGCAUGCAGGUUGUAGAAGCUGUGAGGCAGGCAUGUGAAUACAACAGCGAAACAAACACUUACAAAAUUCCAUCCCUGGCCAAGAAACUCUCGAUUUGGCUUGUGCAGCUUAGCCGACUUGUGAGGUCCAAAGUGGUGAUACCGAAAGACAGCGGCUUGGCUCAGAAGCUACGGGACUUUCAAAAAAUCCAUGAAGACCGUUGGAACGAUUUGCUCUGGACAUCUGUGUCAAAGAAUACAGAGGAUGUCAAGUUUAAGACACCCAUGUUAUUGGCGUUCACAGAAGACGUGCAGAAACUCCACACGUUCCUGAACAAGACGCAAGAUGAACGUAUGACCCAGCUGUCUGCAGACCCUUCUACUAAGUACUGGUCUGAUCUGGCGAAAGUUUGUCUGACUCAAGUUGUUCUGUUCAACCGCAGCAGAGAAGGAGAAGUGUCCAGCAUGACCCUCACCACAUUUCUGUCCAGGGACUCAGCAGAUCCCCCUACAGACAUAGACUGGGCCCUUACCGAGGUUGAGAAGCAGCUGUGCCGGCACUUCUACAAAAUAGUCAUCAGGCCUGAAGGUGCUCGGCCAGUGCCCAUCCUACUCACCCUUAAAAUGCUUCGUGCCUUGCAGCUGCUGGCCGAGAAACGAGAUGUCUGUGGAGUUCUCAAAGAGAACCCAUAUGUUUUUGCUCGCCCGUCGUCCAAUACACACUACAGGAGCUCGGACUGUGUACGAGUGGCUGCUGCGGCUUGUGGCGCAAAGGACGCUUACGCCCUCACCUGUGGAAAGCUGAGGAAGCGAAUUGCAACAUUGUCCACGGUCUUGAACCUGGGGGAUCCAGAGAUCAACCAGCUGGCCAACUUUCUUGGGCAUGAGCUGAUCGUGCAUGAGGAAUAUUAUUCUUUGCCUGAAAGGACCCUGCAGCUUGCAAAAGUCUACAAAGUUCUCACUGCAAUGGAACAAGGCAGAAUGAUGGAGUUCAUGGGCAAGAACUUCUCUGACAUCAAUAUUCAACCUAAUGAGGAGGUUGAGCUCUGCAAUGACAGAGGAAGGAAAAACUGGGAAUGCUCAUCACCAGGAGCUACACAAAGUGUAAAUGAAAGUGCUGUAGAGGACACUGUACUGUGCACAGGUGUCACAGGUGCAUUUCCAGUCUCUUCUUCAGGUCAGAAGCGAAAAGAGCAGAAGAAGAGGAAAACCUGGAGUGUGAGUGAAGUCCAGGCUGUAGAAAGACACAUGAAGGAUUUCAUCACCUCCUGCCGUGUCCCGGGAAAAUCGCCCUGCGAGAACUGCAUUAGAGCUGAGCCUCUGGCUCUAAAAAACAGAGACUGGCAGAGUGUCAAGUUUUACGUCUAUAAUCGGAUCAUGGCCCAGAAGAGGGAUGGCAGUCACAGUAAAGUAUGAAAACUACUCUUUUUGAUCUGUUCGUACAAUUUUCUACAAUGUGGGAAAACAUAAACCGCAUGUGGCGUCGCCUGAAGGUUGUGAAAAUGACUGUUCAGC